rnacentral:rRNA from 1 species
UACGUAGGGUGCGGAGCGUUAAUUCGGAAAUUACUGGGCGUGAAAGCGUGACGUAGGCGGUCCGCGAAGUCUGAUGUGAAGACCCCGGGCUCAACCUGGGAACUGCAUUGGAAACUAACGGGCUCGAGUGUGGCAGAGGGGGGUGGAAUUCCACGUGUAGCAGUGAAAUGCGUAGAGAUGUGGAGGAACACCGAUGGCGAAGGCAGCCCCCUGGGCUAACACUGACGCCUCAGGCACGAAAGCGUGGGGAGCAAACAGG